AUUGAACGCUGGCGGCAUGCCUUACACAUGCAAGUCGAACGGUAACAGGUCUUCGGAUGCUGACGAGUGGCGAACGGGUGAGUAAUACAUCGGAACGUGCCUAGUAGUUGGGGAUAACUACUCGAAAGAGUGGCUAAUACCGCAUGAGAUCUACGGAUGAAAGCAGGGGAUCGCAAGACCUUGUGCUACUAGAGCGGCCGAUGGCAGAUUGGGUAGUUGGUGGGAUAAAAGCUUACCAAGCCGACGAUAUGUGGCUGGGCUGAGAGGACCAUCAGCCACACGAGGACUGAGACACGGCCCAGACUCCUACGGGAGGCAGCAGUGGGGAAUUUUGGACAAUGGGUGCAAGCUUGAUCCAGCAAUGCCGCGUGCAGGAUGAAGGCCUUCGGGUUGUAAACUGCUUUUGUACGGAACGAAAAGCCCCGGGUUAAUACCCUGGGGUCAUGACGGUACCGUAAGAAUAAGCACCGGCUAACUACGUGCCAGCCGCCGCAGUAA
rnacentral:rRNA from 1 species